rnacentral:rRNA from 1 species
UACAGAGGGUGCAAGCGUUAAUCGGAGUGACUGGGCGUAAAGGGCGCGUAGGCGGUUAUAUUAGUCUGAUGUGAAAUGUCUGGGCUUAACCUGGGAUGUGCAUUGGAAACGGUAUGGCUAGAGUUUGAGAGAGGGAAGUGGAAUUUCCGGUGUAGCGGUGAAAUGCGUAGAGAUCGGAAAGAACACUCGUGGCGAAGGCGACUUCCUGGCUCAAAACUGACGCUGAGGCGCGAAGGCGUGGGGAGCAAAC